UUCGCCCUUAGAGUUUGAUCCUGGCUCAGGACGAACGCUGGCGGCGUGCUUAACACAUGCAAGUCGAGCGAUGAAGCUUCUUCGGAAGUGGAUUAGCGGCGGACGGGUGAGUAACACGUGGGUAACCUGCCCUAUAGUGGGGAAUAGCCUUUCGAAAGGAAGAUUAAUACCCCAUAAGAUUGUAGUUCCGCAUGGAACAGCAAUUAAAGGAGCAAUUCGCUAUAGGAUGGACCCGCGGCGCAUUAGCUAGUUGGUGAGGUAACGGCUCACCAAGGCGACGAUGCGUAGCCGACCUGAGAGGGUGAUCGGCCACAUUGGGACUGAGACACGGCCCAGACUCCUACGGGAGGCAGCAGUGGGGAAUAUUGCACAAUGGGGGAAACCCUGAUGCAGCAACGCCGCGUGAGUGAUGACGGUCUUCGGAUUGUAAAGCUCUGUCUUCAGGGACGAUAAUGACGGUACCUGAGGAGGAAGCCACGGCUAACUACGUGCCAGCAGCCGCGGUAAUACGUAGGGAGCGAGCGUUGUCCGGAAUGACUGGGCGUAAAGGGCGUGUAGGCGGCUUUUUAAGUAUGAAGUGAAAGUCCUGCUUUCAAGGUGGGAAUUGCUUUGUAGACUGGAGAGCUUGAGUGCGGAAGAGGUAAGUGGAAUUCCCAGUGUAGCGGUGAAAUGCGUAGAGAUUGGGAGGAACACCAGUGGCGAAGGCGACUUACUGGGCCGUAACUGACGCUGAGGCGCGAAAGCGUGGGGAGCGAACAGGAUUAGAUACCCUGGUAGUCCACGCUAUAAACGAUGAAUGCUAGGUGUAAGGGGUAUCGACCCCUCUUGUGCCGCAGUUAACACAAUAAGCAUUCCGCCUGGGGAGUACAGCCGCAAGGUUGAAACUCAAAGGAAUUGACGGGGGCCCGCACAAGCAGCGGAGCAUGUUGUUUAAUUCGAAGCAACGCGAAGAACCUUACCUGGGCUUGACAUCCAACUAACGAAGCAGAGAUGCAUCAGGUGCCCUUCGGGGAAAGUUGAGACAGGUGGUGCAUGGUUGUCGUCAGCUCGUGUCGUGAGAUGUUGGGUUAAGUCCCGCAACGAGCGCAACCCUUAUUGCUAGUUGCUACGCAAGAGCACUCUAGCGAGACUGCCGUUGACAAAACGGAGGAAGGUGGGGACGACGUCAAAUCAUCAUGCCCCUUAUGUCCAGGGCUACACACGUAAUACAAUGGCGUUCAACAAAGGGAAGCAAGGGCGCGAGCCGGAGCAAAUCCCCAAAAGGCGUCCCAGUUCGGAUCGUGGGCUGCAACCCGCCCACGUGAAGUCGGAAUUGCUAGUAAUCGCGGAUCAGCAUGCCGCGGUGAAUACGUUCCCGGGCCUUGCACACACCGCCCGUCA
rnacentral:rRNA from 1 species